UAUGUGAUCGUCUCUCGCAUAUCAAUAAGCGGAGGAAAAGAAACUAACAAGGAUUCCCCUAGUAACGGCGAGUGAAGCGGGAAGAGCUCAAAUUUGAAAUCUUAAAGGGUUUCCCUUUACGAAUUGUAGUUUAAAGAAGUGUUUUCUGUUGAGGUUUUGGUAAAAGUUCUUUGGAAUAGGACAUCAUAGAGGGUGAGAAUCCCGUAUUUGACCUUUACUUUCAACUUUGUGAUACACUUUCAAAGAGUCGGAUUGUUUGGGAAUGCAGUCCAAAAUGGGUGGUAAAUUUCAUCUAAAGCUAAAUAUUGGCGAGAGACCGAUAGCGAACAAGUACCGUGAGGGAAAGAUGAAAGGAACUUUGAAAAGAGAGUUAAACAGUACGUGAAAUUGUCAAAAGGGAAGCGUUUGACACCAGUGUUGUUUUUCUGAAAAUCAAUUAAAGAACUGUUUAUGCUAAGCUGUUUAGACUUUAUCAGCUAAUCUGUUUAGUUUUGAGCUUUUCUUUAAUGCACUUUUCAGUUAACAAGUCAACAUCAAUUUCUUUUGCUGUAAAAAAGCUUGAGGAAGGUGGCUUGAGAUUCGUCUUAAGUGUUUAUAGCCUCUUGCCUAUGCAGUCGGAGAGAUUGAGAUCUGCAGCGUAGAUCCUUCGGGGCUAAAUGCAUUUGUGCUAAGUUAUAGCAUUUUAUAGACAACUUGUUGACUAUGAUUUGUCUUGUAGCUUACUCGCUUAUGUUAUUUUACCUACGCUUAGGAUGUUGAUCUACAGAGCGAGAGU
rnacentral:rRNA from 1 species